CGGCGGCGGCGCGGAAAGUUGAGCGCUCCGUUAUUCCCGGCUGCGCCUCUCGUGCGGCGCGCGGCCCUCGGCGGCUCGCGGCGGGUCCGGCCACCAUUAUCCCUCCGGCGGCGGGUGGGAGGGGAGGGAGGGCUCUUCUGGCCAGGCCGAGGGUGCCCCCGGACCCGGGCUUUGUGGUGAGCGGACGAGGGCCGGGGUCCUGCGGCGGGACCGGGGCGGGAGUGCGCGCGGGGCGGACGCGGGGGCCGCCAGCCCGCCCCGCGCCGCCCGGCGCCGCACCCGCCCUCCGUCCGCGUAUUUUUAUUUAUUUUUAUUUUUGGAAGGCGGCGUGCGACAUUUGAUUGGCUGGCAGGUUGGGCCGCCUGCUCGCCGCGGCGGCGCGGACGUGUGGGGGACCCAGCACCUUUUGCGGCGGACAAAGUUUUUAAAGUAAUCUCUCCACCCAACAUGGGGCUUGAACUCGUGUCCCUGAGAUCAAGAGUUGCGUGUUCUACUGACAGAGCCAGCCAGGCACUCCAAGGCAUAAAUUAUUAAGCAUGAAAGUAAGAAAAUAAGAAUUGCUGAGAGUAACUUACUAGCACAUCAGUCAUAUCAGGAGUUCUUAAGCCUGGGCCUAUGGAUGGGCUCUAGAUUUUGUGUUGCUGUACAUAUAUGCACUUUGCUGGAAGAGAGGGCCUGUUACUUUUAUGUGAAAGAGGUCCCCAAACAUACAAAGGUUAAAAAGCCCUGAACUAGAUGAAAGAAUAAGUUAACCUUGAAUAGGGGAACCAGAAGCCUGGUUUUAUGGCACAAGAUGAUACACUGGACUAGGAGUUGGGAAACUUGAAAUUUUUAUUUUUUAAAAUAAUAUUUUACUUAUUUAUUUGAGAGCACGUGUGAGAGAGUGACAGCACGAGCAGGGAAGAGAGGGAGAAGCAGACUCCCUGCUGAGCAGGGAGCCUCCCAUGGGGCUUGAUCCCAGGAUCCUGGGAUCAUGACCUGAGCUGAAGGAAGCUGCUUAACCAACUGAGCCACCCUGGUGCCUAGAUUGUGGUUUCUUUUUUUUUUUUUUUUUUAAAGAUUCAAUCCAUCGAUUUGAGAGAGGGUGAGAGUAUGAGUGUGCACGAGCAUGCAGGAGCAUGCACAUGAACUGUGGAUGGGGCUAGGGUAGAGGCAGAGGGAGAAGCAGACUCUUCUCCAAGCAGGGAGCCCAACACAGGGCUCACUCAACAGGACCCUGAGAUCAUGACCUGAGCCACAGGCAGCAGCUUAACCAGCUGAGCUGCCCAGGCACCGCUGAGUGUGUUGGUUUUUAUUUAGUUAGUUAGCUCUACACCUGACCUGGGGCUUGAACUCAUGACCCUGAGAUCAAGAGUCACAUGCUCUACCUGCUGAGCCAGCCAGGUGUCCUCAAAUGUUAUCUCAUUUAAUCCUUAGCUAUCUGUAACCGACUU
rnacentral:lncRNA from 12 species